rnacentral:rRNA from 1 species
UACGUAGGGACCGAGCGUUGUCCGGAAUCAUUGGGCGUAAAGAGCGUGUAGGCGGCCACUUAAGUCCUGCGUGAAAUCUUGCGGCUCAACCGCAAGCGGUCGUGGGAAACUGGGUGGCUAGAGUGCGGGAGAGGAGAGUGGAAUUCCUGGUGUAGCGGUGGAAUGCGCAGAUAUCAGGAGGAACGCCGAUGGCGAAGGCAGGUCUCUGGGCAUUAACUGACGCUGAGGAGCGAAAGCAUGGGGAGCGAACAGG